AACUCAUCAUCUUCUUCUUCUGGUUAGUUCGAGGGCCAUGGUAGUGUCUUGGGUUCCUCUUCUUCGGGACCUACCAACCCAAUCCUCGCUCGGCCAACACGAGCUGUUGAUUCAAAUUCAGAGCCGAGACCUUGUUCGCUUGCCCCGGCAAAACCUAAACCAUCGCCUCAAAGCACACCGAAUUCUGAUCACCAAGUGAAGAGAUCGGAGUAAUUCGGACUCAAAUUUCAAACCGUCAAAUGGGUUUGAUCCAUUUGAUUCAUUAUAACUUCUGGGAAUAGAUCUGGAAAUGGGUAUUCCCUAAAUGUGUUCGAAUGCCCUGUUUGAGGUCGAUCGUAUGGGUCCGGAGAAGAGGUAUCAAUUCAUGUCGAGAGCUGUGUAGAUAGUCAUAGGACGGUCCAGAGUGGUGACGUUGAGGACGUUUCUGCGUUGCUCGGUGAUGACUGCGGGGUGGAGUCUCAGAGGUAGCUGGAGUCCCUCGCUGGUGCUUUUCUUUCUGGCAAGCCACCGGAGGGUUCAGUUGAGGUUGUUCUUAGAUUGCUGCGGAAUAUAGUUAGGGAACCAGAAAAUGCAAAGUUUCGCAGGGUUCGAGUGAACAACCCGAAGAUCCGGGCGGUCAUUGGUGAGGUUGUGGGAGGUGUUAAGUUGCUGGAGUGUGUCGGUUUUGAACUUCGAGAGGAAGAUGGGGAGAUGUGGGCAGUGCUGGAAGUUCCUACGGAGGGGCGAAUUCUUCUAAUUAAGCACGCAAUAUCAUUUGUGGAACCACCUAAAAAAGAAAAAUUGACUCCUGCUGCGCCGGUUGAGUUAGAUGAGCCAAUUGAGCCAAAGAAGGUCGACAGGCAGGGUAUCUUUCGAGGAUGAUAGUCGAUAUUGGCUGUUGGAUUCUCCAGGUGCUUUUUCUUGUAAUUUUUCUUUGAUUUUUUGGUUGGUUCCAAUGACUCCUUUCCACUGUAAAGUAAUUUGGAAGGUCAAAACCCCCCCAUAAAAUCAAAGUGUUUCUUUGGUUGGUUGUGCUUAAUAGGAUAAAUAUUAAUGACUUGCUACAAAUGAGGAGACCUUUAAAGGUUGUCCCCUAAUAUAUGUAUGCUUUGUUUUGAUUGUUUAGAAUUUGGUUCUCAUCUUUGCAUGGAAGAAUUGAAAUAACUUAUUCAAUUAUUUUGGAGAAAGCUAGGUUUGUUCUAGAACAGUGAAGGAGUUCUUGUUAACAUCUUUUGUGGGGUUAGGGAGGAGGAAGGAAGGAAUUUCUUUAUGGAAUUGUGCUUAAUUUUAAGUGUUAUGAGGAUUGUGGAAGGAAGGUAACUUGUGUAUUUUUUCAGGGAAGAAGAUUCCAUAUUGGUUGGUGUGGGAACAUGUGCUUUUUAUGGCUUUUUUGUGGUGUGUGAGCAAUGGAAAUUUUAAGGGGAUGUGCUUGAUAGAUGUUUAGUGGGAUUGGAAGUCCCUUCUACGGGUGUGUUGAUUUUAGUUUGCUGUAUUUUAUUUUUUGUUUCAUUUUUUUGGGGAUUCCUAGAUUCCUUUAAGGAUAUGUCUUCUCUCCUGAUUGUCCAUCCUUUUGAUAUCUAUCAAAAAAAUAUUUAUAAUUAUACAUAAACAGAAAUGAUCUUAAAUUCUAAGUCAAUCUGAUAAUUUGAUGAAUGCGUCAAAUAUUUGGCAAAAGGUAAAAAAGUAAAAUGAAUUUAAAACAAAAUUGUACUAAAGCAAAAAAAAGAAAAAGGAAGUGGUAUUGGGGACUCAAUCCAAUAUUCCAUUUCCUAAUGAAUUAAAUAUUUCAAUUGCCAUCUACAAAGGUAGCAUUUUAGUUGUCAUCCCAUAUCACAUUUUGUGUCCUAUGAUCAUUUUGUC